rnacentral:rRNA from 1 species
UUUUAAGUCCAAUCUGCCCAAUGAAAAUUUAAAUAGCUGCAGUAUUUAUAACUGUACAAAGGUAGCAUAAUAAAUUGUUUUUUAAUUAAAAACUAGAAUGAAAGAUUUAAUGAAAUAUAAACUUUCUCAGAAAAAAAAAUUUAAUUUUUUAUUUAAGUAAAAAAACUUAAAUAAUAUUAAAAGACGACAAGACCCUAUAGAAUUUUAUUAUUUAUUAUUUUUAAUAAUUCAAUAAUAAAUAAUUUUGUUGGGGUAACAAAAAAAUACAAAAAAUUUUUUUUAUAAAACCCAUUAAUAAAUGAAUUUUUUAUCUUAAAAUUUAAAUUAAAAAAAUUAAUUACCUUAGGGAUAACAGCAUAA